AUUGAACGCUGGCGGCAGGCCUAACACAUGUAAGUCGCGCGGUAGAGAGAAGCUUGCUUCUCUUGAGAGCGGCGGCCGGGUGAGUAAUGCCUAGGAACCUGCCCGGUAGCGGGGGAUAACGAUAGGAAACGGAAGCUAAUACCGCAUAUCUCCUACGGGAGAAAGCAAGGGACCUUCGGUCCUUGCGAUGGUAGAUGAGCCUGGGUCGGAUUAGCUAGUUGGUGGGGUAAUGGCUCACCAAGGCGACGAUGCGUAACUGGUCUGAGAGGAUGAUCAGUCACACUGGAACUGAGACACGGUCCAGACUCCUACGGGAGGCAGCAGUGGGGAAUAUUGGACAGUGGGCGAAAGCCUGAUCCAGCCUUGCCGCGUGUGUGAAGAAGGUCUUCGGAUUGUAAAGCACUUUAAGUUGGGAGGAAGGGCAGUAAAUUAAUACUUUGCUGUUUUGACGUUACCGACAGAAUAAGCACCGGCUAACUCUGUGCCAGCCGCCGCAGUAA
rnacentral:rRNA from 1 species